rnacentral:lncRNA from 1 species
UGUGGGCAGUAACAGUGAAGAAGGACAGCCUAUGGGUCAAAUGGGUGCACACAUACUACAUCACAAACAAUGCCGUAGAGGAUGUACAUACUCCUAAAAGUGUUGCAUGGGCUGUCAGAAUGAUCUUUGAGACUCGAUCACUGAUAACAAAUAUACAAGGAAUACAAGGAAAUCUGGAAUGUAGGCUGCACCAGCUACAAAGAGGUGAAUGGUUCAGCAUAAAAAAACUCUACAUACUGCAACUCCCUCAACACCCCAAAGUACACUGGAAAAGCAUUAUUCUGCAGACAAAACUGCACCCACAAUUCAAAUUUAUCGUCUGGCUAGCUUUGUGCAGAAG